rnacentral:piRNA from 1 species
ACUUCCUACUGGGCACUUACCUG